GAUGAACGCUAGCUACAGGCUUAACACAUGCAAGUCGAGGGGAAACGAUAUUGGAAGCUUGCUUCCGAUAGGCGUCGACCGGCGCACGGGUGAGUAACGCGUAUCCAACCUGCCCAUCACUUGGGAAUAACCUUGCGAAAGUAAGACUAAUGCCCAAUGACAUUUAUAGAAGGCAUCCGAAGUGAAUUAAAGAUUUAUCGGUGAUGGAUGGGGAUGCGUCUGAUUAGCUUGUUGGCGGGGUAACGGCCCACCAAGGCGACGAUCAGUAGGGGUUCUGAGAGGAAGGUCCCCCACAUUGGAACUGAGACACGGUCCAAACUCCUACGGGAGGCAGCAGUGAGGAAUAUUGGUCAAUGGGCGAGAGCCUGAACCAGCCAAGUAGCGUGCAGGAUGACGGCCCUAUGGGUUGUAAACUGCUUUUAUAGGGGAAUAAAGUGAGCCACGUGUGGUUUUUUGCAUGUACCCUAUGAAUAAGGACCGGCUAAUUCCGUG
rnacentral:rRNA from 1 species